rnacentral:rRNA from 1 species
GACGAAAGUGGCCAGCGUUGUUCGGAAGUACUGGGCGUAAAGGGCGCGUAGGCGGUCUUGUAAGUCAGUUGUGAAAGCCCCGGGCUCAACCCGGGAAUAGCAUUUGAUACUGCGAGGCUUGAGUCCGGGAGAGGAUGGCUGAAUUCCCAGUGUAGAGGGGAAAUUCGUAGAUAUUGGGAAGAACACAGGUGGCGAAGGCGGCCAUCUGGACCGGUACUGACGCUGAGGCGCGAAAGCGUGGGGAGCAAACAGG